rnacentral:rRNA from 1 species
GACGGAGGAUGCAAGCGUUAUCCGGAAUGAUUGGGCGUAAAGCGUCUGCAGGUGGUUUCCUAAGUCCACUGUUAAACCUUGAGGCUCAACCUCAAAUCUGCAUUGGAAACUAGGAGACUUGAGUAUAGUAGGGGUAGAGGGAAUUUCCAGUGGAGCGGUGAAAUGCGUAGAUAUUGGAAAGAACACCGAUGGCGAAGGCACUCUACUGGGCUAUUACUGACACUCAGAGACGAAAGCUAGGGGAGCAAAUGGG